rnacentral:lncRNA from 1 species
CUGGUUUUAUACCUCACUGAUUAUCAUUGUCAGAAAAAAGGGGCAC